GGCCGGUUGGCCCAAUGGCAAGGCGUCUGACUACGACUCUUUCUACUAAGCGUUUCGUGCGGCUCUGCUGUACGAGGAACAUGUGGGAGAAGUGCAAAGGUAUCAGGAGAUUCUGGGUUCGACCCCCAGGCUGGUCA